rnacentral:misc_RNA from 1 species
GAUGAAGAACGCAGCGAAAUGCGAUAAGUAACGUGAAUUGCAGAAUUCAGUGAAUCAUCGAAUCUUUGAACGCACAUUGCGCCCCUUGGUAUUCCGAGGGGCAUGCCUGUUCGAGCGUCAUUAUAACCCCUCAAGCUCAGCUUGGUGUUGGGGCCUGCUGCACUGGCAGCCCUUAAAAUCAGUGGCGGCGCCAUCUGGCUCUAAGCGUAGUAAUUCUUCUCGCUAUGGAGUCCUGGUGGAUGCUUGCCAUCAACCCCCAAUUUUUCUAUGGUUGACCUCGGAUCAGGUAGGGAUACCCGCUGAACUUAAGCAUAUCAAUAAGCGGAGGA